GGGGUAAUGGCCUACCAAGCCUACGAUCUAUAGCUGGUCUGAGAGGAUGAUCAGCCACACUGGGACUGAGACACGGCCCAGACUCCUACGGGAGGCAGCAGUGGGGAAUCUUGCACAAUGGGCGAAAGCCUGAUGCAGCCAUGCCGCGUGAAUGAUGAAGGCCUUAGGGUUUGUAAAAUUCUUUCGCUAGGGAUGAUAAUGACAGUACCUAGUAAAGAAGCCCCGGCUAACUUCGUGCCAGCCAGCCGCGGUAAUACGAAGGGGGCUAGCGUUGUUCGGAAUUACUGGGCGUAAAGCGCACGUAGGCGGACUUUUAAGUCAGAUGUGAAAUCCCGGGGCUCAACCUCGGAACUGCAUUUGAAACUGGAAGUCUGGAGUUCAGGAGAGGUUAGCGGAAUACCGAGUGUAGAGGUGAAAUUCGUAGAUAUUCGGUGGAACACCAGUGGCGAAGGCGGCUAACUGGACUGAUACUGACGCUGA
rnacentral:rRNA from 1 species